rnacentral:lncRNA from 1 species
UGCACCAACAGCACUCCUAUCAAAAUCGUCGAUCUAGAAUCAACAACUAAAUCUCACAAAAAGCACACCGGGGGCACACCCCUCGGUCUCUAUUUAUAUCGAAAAGUCUAUCACCAAAUAGGAGUAGGACUCCUUAUACUAAUAUGACUCAUCUCUUAGUUUUCCUAAUUAAAUCCAACAUGCCAAAAUCAGGCGUGCUACAGUAGUCCG